AUGGGUGGAGUUUGGUUGGACCAGGAGAAGGUCGAGCAGAUCAAUUUAUGGCUGACCCGUGUCUUGGUCCUCUUGAGUUUCAUCGCGCAUCUUGUCCUGGCCCUAUUAUCCGAUAUCCGCCGGCGUAAUGCCUCCGGCCCUCGGAGGCUCCUGCUGUGGGUGGCGUACCAGGUGACUGAGAAGGCCCCGACAGCCGCACUUGGCAAGCUGUUCCUCGACAGUGCGUCAAGUGAGCAGCGGCUGUUCGCCUUCUGGGUGCCGUUCCUCCUGCUGCACCUUGGUCGCCCGGACAACAUCACCGCCUACACCUUGGAGGACAACAUGCUAUCAUGGCGCCUGGUGCUGGAUGUGUUUGUAGAUCUCGGCGGAGCCCUCUAUGGUGCAUACAAGCAUAGAUUUAUGGCCGACGACUGGAAUUUGUGCGCAGCUUUCAGCAUCAUGUACUUCUUGGGUUGCUACAAGUACUGGGAGAGGGCAGUUGCGCUAAGGCAAGGUACCUUCUCCCGCAUACGCAGUUCAAACGAGAAGAAGCCACUGAUGUCAUUCACCGCUGAUCAGCCUGGACGGCAGAAGCUGGAUGAUGAGGAUGCCCUGUUUGAUGCUCACCGCCUGCUUGGUAUCGCCAUGGGUGCUUUUGCUUAUUAUCCAGUCAAACGGGAUCCCAGGGCCAGGGAUAAUGGACCGUUGGUAUCUUACUAUCAUUGGGAGGAUGUUUGCAAGGUUGUGGAGAUGGAGCUCUCGCUCAUGUAUGAUAUCAUGUACACCAAGGCAACCGUGGUCCACACAUGGCGUGGCUACCUCAUCCGUAUCGCCUCACCGCCCCUAACAGCGACUGCGCUCUUGCUGUUUCUCUUCCACAGUAAAGAGGGGCAGAAAGAAUGGGAUAUAAUUAUCACUUAUAUCUUGCUGAUUGGUACAUUGCUGCUGGAUGUGAGAUGGCUGCUCAGAGCUCUUGGUUCAGCCUGGACACAUUCAUUCUUUCGUGAUACAACAUGGCUCAAUCAAACAGUCUGUUGCCGGCGUGGGACAUGGUACAGGUUGCGCCGCUUCGUCGCUUCUUUAGAUCCUUCCUGGCGCUUCGGCCAUGUCAAGGAUUCAAAUAGCUCGUCGGGCCAUGUCAAGGAGCCAAGUAGCUACAGGAUGUGGUCUGGCACCACCGGACAGCUCAACUUGUUCCACACCUGCACUCAAGGCCCCGCUAACCUAUGGAGGACACUGAUGAAGAAGAUGACAUUGGAGGACAGCUCCAAAGGCCUCGGGGAUCAAGAUGAUAUUAAAAAGUCUUCUCUCCAAGAUAUAUCUGAAGCACUAUUGUCAGGAUGGGCCCCUCCUCUAAAUAUGGUGGAAGCAUUUUACGAGAAGCCUCCGAUGUUCGAUCAAGCUAUGCGGUUUGGUCCUCAUUUCCAUCAGCUUGUCCUCACAUGGCAUGUCGCCACGGACAUUUACCUAUUGUGCAGUAAGGGAGAAACUCCUGCCAGGGAAGAAAAAGGCAAGCAUCUGAAGAGCAAGAUCAAAUAUCUAUCGGAUUACAUGAUGUUCCUCCUGUUGGAACGCCCCGACAUGCUACCAGACCUUAAGAUCCGCACCCAGUACGAACAAAUCCGCCAUGAAUUGGAGAACAUAUGGUCCAAACGCAACAUACAUAACUCCAGCUUCAGUGGCGAUGAAGCAAGAGAGAAGCUUGCCCUCACCAUCCUGGACGUGGGUGAUGAUAUCCAAAAUGGUAUUCUCCAAGAUGCUGUCAAAUAUGCCCAUCUGCUGCUGAAUAAAAUGGCUAGUGCUGGGACUUGGAAAGAAAUUUGCAAGGACCUUGCAUUAAAGGAAGAAGACGAGAAAAAGCUUAUUCUUUUGAUUCCCGAAUUUGAGGAGUAUCUUCAGCCCAGAAUGGGCUCACCUCGGCGCUUUCCUGAAAAUGACAUAGUUUCUAAGAGAUAUAUAGAUGUUCUGAAGCUGAUUCAAGAAUCAUGGUUGCGUGUGCUCAUUUUUGCCUCCAUCCGCUGCAGCAGGGAUACCCAUGCCAAGCAGCUCAGCCUUGGCGGUGAGCUAACAACCAUUGUCUGGAUGCUAUAUGAGCACCGUGACAUGGUUGAUAGUAGAUAA
rnacentral:rRNA from 1 species